rnacentral:rRNA from 1 species
GGGUUGUAAACUUCUUUUAUAAAGGAAUAAAGUCGGGUAUGCAUACCCGUUUGCAUGUACUUUAUGAAUAAGGAUCGGCUAACUCCGUGCCAGCAGCCGCGGUAAUACGGAGGAUCCGAGCGUUAUCCGGAUUUAUUGGGUUUAAAGGGAGCGUAGAUGGAUGUUUAAGUCAGUUGUGAAAGUUUGCGGCUCAACCGUAAAAUUGCAGUUGAUACUGGAUGUCUUGAGUGCAGUUGAGGCAGGCGGAAUUCGUGGUGUAGCGGUGAAAUGCUUAGAUAUCACGAAGAACUCCGAUCGCGAAGGCAGCCUGCUAAGCUGCAACUGACAUUGAGGCUCGAAAGUGUGGGUAUCAAACAGGAUUAGAUACCCUGGUAGUCCACACGGUAAA